CACAGUAAUUAAGACAAAUGUUCCACCGAUUACGAAGCAUCUACGAAACCUUAGUUCUAGUAGUAAAUGCACCACUAACUAAGACAAAAUCACAUUUAAUCCAUACAUUAGUAAGACCCAUCUUUUAAGCUUCCUCCAUAGUAUAUAUAACUCCAAAAAACUCAGCAACCAAAACAGUUUGAAUGUCAAUAAGCACAUAAAAACUACCAAUAAACUUUCUCAU
rnacentral:lncRNA from 1 species